GAUGAACGCUGGCGGCGUGCCUAAUACAUGCAAGUCGAGCGAACGGACGAGAAGCUUGCUUCUCUGAUGUUAGCGGCGGACGGGUGAGUAACACGUGGAUAACCUACCUAUAAGACUGGGAUAACUUCGGGAAACCGGUGCUAAUACCGGAUAAUAUUUUGAACCGCAUGGUUCAAAAGUGAAAGACGGUCUUGCUGUCACUUAUAGAUGGAUCCGCUCUGCAUUAGCUAGUUGGUAAGGUAACGGCUUACCAAGGCAACGAUGCAUAGCCGACCUGAGAGGGUGAUCGGCCACACUGGAACUGAGCCACGGUCCAGACUCCUACGGGAGGCAGCAGUAGGGAAGCUUCCGCGAUGGGCGAAAGCCUGACGGAGCAACGCCGCGUGAGUGAUGAAGGUCUUCGGAUCGUAAAACCCUGUUAUUAGGGAAGAACAUAUGUGUAAGUAACUGUGCACAUCUUGACGGUACCUAAUCAGAAAGCCACGGCUAACUACGUG
rnacentral:rRNA from 1 species